rnacentral:lncRNA from 1 species
GAUCCCCACUCUCUCAAAAACCCUAACCUCACAAAAUUGAUCAAUUGAAGGCUAAUCCUUGUUCCAAAUCAAAAUCUGAAUAUAGAUUCGUGAUCCUCAUCACAAGGGGGUUACAAGGAAAGGAGGCCGGAGCACCUAGCGGGCAAACCAGUGUGGACGCACGUUUGAAAGGUCUACUUUGAAGGUGACGAUGGACCUAAUCCGGAUGGCGAUCAAGCAUCUUUUCAAGAACCGAACACUACAUUUUGAAGCUUCCGCAAUGUUUUAAAUCUUUAAUAGACUUUGUGUAUGGGUUUCGUUAGUUGA